CUACGGGGGGCAGCAGUGGGGAAUAUUGGACAAUGGGGGAAACCCUGAUCCAGCAAUGCCGCGUGUGUGAAGAAGGCCUGCGGGUUGUAAAGCACUUUCGGUUGGGAGGACUGCUUCUAGCACUAAUAUUGUUGGAAGUUGACGUUACCUUCAGAAGAAGCACCGGCUAACUCCGUGCCAGCAGCCGCGGUAAUACGGAGGGUGCAGGCGUUAAUCGAAUUACUGGGCGUAAAGCGCGCGUAGGCGGCUAGAUCAGUCGGGUGUGAAAGCCCCGGGCUUAACCUGGGAACUGCAUCCGUUACUGUCUAGCUUGAGUACAGGAGAGGAGAGUGGAAUUCCACAUGUAGCGGCGAAAUGCGUAGAUAUGUGGAGGAACACCAAUGGCGAAGGCAGCUCUCUGGCCUGAUACUGACGCUGAGGUGCGAAAGCGUGGGGAGCAAACAGGAUUAGAUACCCGUGUAGUC
rnacentral:rRNA from 1 species